rnacentral:other from 1 species
AAAUUACUAGAGAUAGUUUGUUAAGAAAAACCUACACUUAUAACGAUUGGGAACAUAAUUGUUAAGGGUUGUUGAAUACUUAUUAAUUUAAGGAUCCUUAAACUUAACAUGUUGUACCCACCUGGGGAGACCGGUUUUAUCGUUAUUGACUAUCUCUAGUUUUUUU